GUUAGGAAUAUUGGACAAUGGGCGCAAGCCUGAUCCAGCCAUGCCGCGUGAGUGAUGAAGGCCCUAGGGUUGUAAAGCUCUUUCACCGGUGAAGAUAAUGACGGUAACCGGAGAAGAAGCCCCGGCUAACUUCGUGCCAGCAGCCGCGGUAAUACGAAGGGGGCUAGCGUUGUUCGGAAUUACUGGGCGUAAAGCGCACGUAGGCGGACAUUUAAGUCAGGGGUGAAAUCCCAGAGCUCAACUCUGGAACUGCCUUUGAUACUGGGUGUCUUGAGUAUGGAAGAGGUAAGUGGAAUUCCGAGUGUAGAGGUGAAAUUCGUAGAUAUUCGGAGGAACACCAGUGGCGAAGGCGGCUUACUGGUCCAUUACUGACGCUGAGGUGCGAAAGCGUGGGGAGCAAACAGGAUUAGAAACCCGUGUAGUCC
rnacentral:rRNA from 1 species